rnacentral:rRNA from 1 species
AACGAACGCUGGCGGCAGGCUUAACACAUGCAAGUCGAACGCCCCGCAAGGGGAGUGGCAGACGGGUGAGUAACGCGUGGGAAUCUACCCAACCCUGCGGAAUAGCUCUGGGAAACUGGAAUUAAUACCGCAUACGCCCUACGGGGGAAAGAUUUAUCGGGGAUGGAUGAGCCCGCGUUGGAUUAGCUAGUUGGUGGGGUAAAGGCCUACCACGGCGACGAUCCAUAGCUGGUCUGAGAGGAUGAUCAGCCACAUUGGGACUGAGACACGGCCCACACUCAUCCUGGAGGCAGCAGUGGGGAAUAUUGGACAAUGGGCGCAAGCCUGAUCCAGCCAUGCCGCGUGAGUGAUGAAGGCCUUAGGGUUGUAAAGCUCUUUCACCGGUGAAGAUAAUGACGGUAACCGGAGAAGAAGCCCCGGCUAACUUCGUGCCAGCCGCCGCCGUAAGAC